rnacentral:rRNA from 1 species
AACUCUUCGGAGGGAAGUUCGUGGAACGAGCGGCGGACGGGUGAGUAACACGUAGGCAACCUGCCUGUAAGACUGGGAUAACUCGCGGAAACGCGAGCUAAUACCGGAUAACACUUUCUAUCACCUGAUGGAAAGUUGAAAGGCGGCUUUUGCUGUCACUUACAGAUGGGCCUGCGGCGCAUUAGCUAGUUGGUGAGGUAACGGCUCACCAAGGCGACGAUGCGUAGCCGACCUGAGAGGGUGAUCGGCCACACUGGGACUGAGACACGGCCCAGACUCCUACGGGAGGCAGCAGUAGGGAAUCUUCCGCAAUGGACGAAAGUCUGACGGAGCAACGCCGCGUGAGUGAUGAAGGUUUUCGGAUCGUAAAACUCUGUUGUCAGGGAAGAACAAGUACGAUAGUAACUGAUCGUACCUUGACGGUACCUGACCAGAAAGCCACGGCUAACUACGUGCCAGCAGCCGCGGUAAUACGUAGGUGGCAAGCGUUGUCCGGAAUUAUUGGGCGUAAAGCGCUCGCAGGCGGUUCUUUAAGUCUGAUGUGAAAUCUUGCGGCUCAACCGCAAACGUGCAUUGGAAACUGGAGGACUUGAGUGCAGAAGAGGAGAGUGGAAUUCCACGUGUAGCGGUGAAAUGCGUAGAGAUGUGGAGGAACACCAGUGGCGAAG